rnacentral:misc_RNA from 1 species
GCCUCAGGAAAAAGAAAUGAGAAAAAGUCAACAGUCAUGAAUAAUGAUGAUGAAUAAACUUGCACUAUUUAAUUGAACAUUUACCAUUCUAGUUUCAAACAAAUCUACUUGCAAAAUAGAUCACGUUGCAUAACAAUGGCAUACUUGGAGAUUGCCCUAAUAAACUAAAGGAAUGAACUUGUAUCGAACUUUGCUCAUGUACUCUAAAUAUCUCUCGCCAAAAGUCUCUAUCAUCAGAACCUCCUCCAUUUUUGCUUUCUGGGCAUAAUAUAUCAAACAUACUGCUACCACAAACAACAAGCUCAAAGGAGCACGAAGUGCAAGAAAAUAAGUCGCAAACAACAGCAUUGUUGAAGAAUAUAUUGGGUGCCGGACCCACCUAUAAGGCCCAAAUUGCACAACAGCAGUAGGUACCACCACCUUCUCUGAAUACUUGGCAAGGUAAAGUGUCGAGUUAUAUUGCAUGAGCAAAGUUACCACUAUCAAAAUCCAAAUCCCCGCAUUGCUCCACCCACCAGGAAUAAGGUGUAGCUCUGGCCCUUCAAAAGCUGCAAGCCAAUGACUAACCAUGACACCAACACAGAAGACAAGGCGAUACCAUUUGGGUGGGUUCACAUCCCACUUGGGGUCAUGUGGACGAGCAAAAUAAUCUCCGUACAAACGUUUCCUCACGCUAACAUUGAAGAAAAAGAAAUAAUGGUACACAAAGAAGAACACAAAAGGCCAUCCUUCGAGGUAGCCAUUGAAAUGGGCAGGAGGCACAAGGGUUAGCCAAGUAAAAACUGAGGUGACAAGGGCAAGUUGCUCAAAAAUGCUCGCUUCACCCAACGAAUGUUUAUAAAAGCAAUACAACCCGUAAAACGCAAGUGAUAUAGCCACAAACCACGGCCAAAAUAACCACGUCCAGCUAAAAUACAUCCAGAAAAAUGGGUCCAAGAGCAAAUUCACUGUCCACUUUGCGGCUGCAAUUGCAAUCGAGAAGAAAACAGACCACUUGAUGAUAUCAACUGGAGUUAAUUGCAAAAGGGUCGUUUUCACUUCAUCAAGAGAGAGGUUUUUCAGACGCAUCAGCCAUGGGUGGUUUUGUGGGUAGUCUGUGCUUGUAGAGCCGAUGUAAGAGCAUUUGACAGGAGAUAUCAAAUGGUUUCUCGUCAAUUUUAAUCGUGAUGAUGACUGAUACAGUGAAAAAGAAGGAUUUAAGGAGUUUUUGCUGGGUUUGUGGACCUGAUGACACUGAAAGUUGAUAUCGCAACGAUGCAAUUGAAGGUGUUUGUUGAAAUGUCUGAGAGAAACUCUCUUCUUACCAUAGUCGUUGACGCUGUUUGCCCGAGCGAAACUAAAAGGGAUUGCUCUCGAGUGAAGUAUAAAAGAUGAAGUUUCCAUUGCUGAGUAAAUAAAAGGACAGUGAGCUUCCGGAGAAUUGGGGAGGUUUCUACAUCAGUUUUAGUACGGCCUCACUCAG